UUCCGUUGGUGAACCAGCGGAGGGAUCAUU
rnacentral:rRNA from 1 species